rnacentral:tRNA from 1 species
UCCGGAGUAGCUCAAUGGUAGAGCGUCUCCCUGUUAAGGAGAGUGUUGUAGGUUCGAGUCCUACCUCCGGAGCCA